AACGAACGCUGGCGGCAGGCUUAACACAUGCAAGUCGAACGGGUGUAGCAAUACAUCAGUGGCAGACGGGUGAGUAACACGUGGGAACCUUCCUAGGGGUACGGAACAACUCAGGGAAACUUGAGCUAAUACCGUAUACGUCCGUGAGGAGAAAGAUUUAUCGCCCUUAGACGGGCCCGCGUCGGAUUAGGUAGUUGGUGGGGUAACGGCCUACCAAGCCUACGAUCCGUAGCUGAUCUGAGAGGAUGAUCAGCCACAAGGGGACUGAGACACGGCCCAGACUCUUACGGGAGGCAGCAGUGUGGAAUCUUGGGCAAUGGGCGAAAGCCUGAUCCAGCCAUGCCGCGUGAGUGAAGAAGGCCUUAGGGUUGUAAAGCUCUUUUGCCAGGGACGAUAAUGACGGUACCUGGAGAAUAAGCCCCGGCAAACUUCGUGCCAGCAGCCGCAGUAAAAC
rnacentral:rRNA from 1 species